UUUAAGUUAUCCUUUAAACAGCUCCAAUAUUUGUAUUAACUGUUUGGAUGAUAUCUCUUGCACAUAAUAGUUUUUUGUGUAUGCAUAUGCAUCAUCCAUUUUUGAAGAGGUUGACAUUUUUGUCAGUAUGUCUCAGCCUUGCUCUAAUUGUUAUACAUUUUCCUCCUCUUUCCCAUAAACUACUGCUCCUUAAUAAUUUCCUAAAAACAUAUUCUUUGUCAG